UCACAUCCUAGCUAACAUUAAUAUGCAGUUUAUCUAGCUACGUCAUCAAGCGUGGCUUCGCUUCCAACCAGCUUUUUCUCUCCAAGUGCAGCUCUGUCUCCGUGCUGUGGGCUCACACUGCUUCAGCUCUUCAAGACAGAUGACUUUUUUUUAACUCCCAAGCUUUUUCCCUCCAAGUGGCUGUGCAGUUCUGUCCUGCUGACUGCUAACAUAGCUUCAUCUCUUCAAAAGACAAGACAACAGGUAUCUUCCACCAAGAUGUCUGUUGAAAUGGAAAUGACCUUACCCACUACACCAAGGGUAAUCAUGCUUGGAAAUAGCUUGAUGUCUGCAACCCGGUGGAUGGUCAGUAUGGAGGAGAAGGUAUUUUUCGAGCCUGAGCAACUACAUGACUUUGCCAGCGUCCUUGCUGUCUUUUUUGGGUCAUAUUAUGUCUUCAAUCUGGAGUAUCAGGAGUCAGCAUCCACCACGCUGGAGAUGAUACAACG